rnacentral:lncRNA from 1 species
CAGCAGCGGCUUAUCUUUGCUGGUAAACAGCUGGAGGAUGGGCGCACGCUGGCAGACUACAACAUUCAAAAGGAAUCUACUCUUCAUUUGGUCCUCCGCCUUCGUGGUGGGAUGCAGAUCUUUGUGAAGACCCUCACUGGGAAGACCAUCACUCUAGAAGUGGAGAGCUCGGACACCAUCGAUAAUGUCAAGGCCAAGAUCCAAGAUAAGGAAGGUAUUCCUCCUGAUCAGCAAAGACUUAUUUUUGCUGGAAAGCAGCUUGAGGAUGGGCGUACUUUGGCGGACUAUAAUAUCCAGAAGGAGUCCACUCUUCAUCUUGUCCUCCGCCUUCGUGGUGGUGCUGCUGAGCUGUAAUGGGUGUUCAGGGUCUGCAUAAGUUUCAAAUCUGGUACUGGUGUCUCCUUUUGGCUUAGGAGAACACUUAAUGUUAAGUAGUUUGUGCUUUAUGUGUGAAUGCUCUAUCAGACUUAGGAUGCUUGUUUUACGCAUGUGUGAUUUGAAGUUUAGUUUGAAUGUUCUGCAAACCUGUAGGUUUAAAUCUGUAUAAUAAGGCAUGCUACGAUAUUUCGUAUGCUGACUUAAUGUGAUGCAUAAGUUGUUUUUAUUUUCUGAGCUUCCCAUGGCUGUCAAAUUUUGAAAUAAGGUGAUAACAUGGUGGCAGCUGGAUUACUGUCUAUUCAUUGCUUGAAGAACUGAGAACUGCUACUUGCCAUUCAACUGGUCAUUCAACUGGUCAUGGACAUUUGACCGUACUUGUUCUGUAUACAAGGUUGAAUGCUGAUGAACUCUUAGGCCUAAGACUCGCACAAUUUGGAUUACAUGUGAUAUGAUUAUGAUAUUUUACAGUUGUGGUCAGAUGCACUUUUCAUGAUGCGUGCUUGCCAUUGAACAGGUUGUUUCGUGGUACAUGGAUACUCGGCAAAUGUAGAUGUAGUAUGGUUGAGCACAAUCCUGGGUGAAGAUUGCAGACGCAAGCAAAAAAUUAAAGAGAGUUGGUAAUUCAUACAUUUGUCGGAAGUUCAUCAAUACAGAAGAAGAGUGGUUCUAUGAGCUUUAGGUUCUUGACUGAUGUACCGGAUGAUCUUAACAUCAUCAAACUGCAACCAGGACAUCUCGAGCCUGCUCUGUGCCAUGAUCCAUCCUUCAUAUCCAAUACAGGUAGCUUAGUUGGCCGUGAGAGCUUCAAUGUCUCUGCAAUGAUCCAUGCUUCAAAUGAGAGAUAUGUAACUUGGUUUACCGUGAGAGCUUCAAUGUUCAACUUCUGUUGUGAGAUAUGAAGAGCAUCGUUCAGGAUAUUUGUAACUUCGUUUGGUUUAUGUGCCCGAGUCUGCUGAUAAUGUUAAUGGCUUGCUGUUGCUGGCCCUUCACAGGCUCCCAAAUGCAUAAACAUGUCUCAAACCCAGAAGUUCUGUAUUCUGUUACAACCUCCAUGUAUGGAAUGGAGAGGCAAAAAAUAAAAGAUAUGUUUCUCUUAAAAAAUGUAAUAAAUCUGUAGAUCUGACCUUGUGGUAGUCAUCUAUCCAUCACCAUUCUCUCUCACUAUACUGGCAGUCUGGCAUACUUAUUCCAGUUUGCAUUAAAAUUUCAAAUGACAAACAAUUGUUCGAGAAACGAACUGCUGGGUUUUCAUGGCUGCUAGAGGUCUGAGCCCACCAGAAACCCAAUUGGAUUCCAUUGCUGGGGGCUAGCGUUCCAUUGUGAGGCUUGUAUGCUGGCUGCCGGCUACCAGGAUCGGUGGUUUUCACCCGGUCUGAAGGAACCAUGCAAGUAAUCACCAUAGACCAUACAAAAUUUCCUUGUUCCAGCUAUGUGCUAUUUUGCUUGGUCUAGUACAGUGUCCAGUUCUGUGUAGAUUAACUAGGAUGUGGUCUUGGAAAGAAGAAACCACCUUCUUAGUUCGGUGGUGGCAUCCCAAGCGCGCGCACACACACACACACACACACACACACACACACACACAUAUAUAUAUAUAUAUAUAUAUAUAUAUAUAUAUAUAUAUAUAUAUAUAUAUAUAUAUAUAUAUAUAUAUAUAUAGUAUAUUAUAUAUAUAUAAUAAGUAAAGUAAAAGUAAAGAAAGUAAANNNNNNNNNNNNNNNNNNNNCUGUUUCCCAGUCCCUCCCAUUCCACUGAUGGCCAUGCUUCUUUGAAGUCCAGCUCUCAGUUCCGAUUCUGCUCCUGAAUCUCUAUAUCUUGUCCUCCAACCCAAUUAAUUCCUUUGAAGUCUCUUCUCAUAUUCAUCAUCCAUCUCCUUCCUCCACUGUUCUGUUACCUUCUCCCUUGCCUGUGUUUCAGCCUGUUCCAUGGCCUGCGGCAGGGACUGCCUCGGCUUGUUUGGGACUAUAUAUUUCCCUGAGUUCUUGCCGCAGUCCAUCAACAUAUUAAGAAGUUACUAACAAACGACACCCAAACUGAACAAUAAUAUGUCAAAGCCAAAGAAUGCAGUUAACAUUAAUCAAAAGCUGAUGGGGAAUUAUCAGCCAUAACACUACUGAUUCUAUCACUUCACAAUUUGAGUUUUUUUUUUUGGUACAAGCGGAUGCUCACAACAUUCUAGUACAAGUACAUGCCAAAAAAUCAAAAAAUAAAAUGUCCUACAGAGCACGCGGACAUGUCUGACCUUAUCGUCGGUCCAGACAUUUGCUGUUUGCCUCUUGAAAAACAUAUUGAACAUACAUCGUAAUGAAAUCAUAUAGAAAAAUUCACAUACCAGAAAGAACAGAUAGGCCUCCAACUGCUCCAUGUCAUCUCGGAUCCAACUGAUGACGGUAGUAAAAUCUCCUUCAAUGAGUAUCCCCUUCACCCGAAGCCUCUGUCUGGCAUAGAUGAUGCUCCCCAGGCAGCUCGAAGCUCAAAAAGAUGUGAGCCCUCCACCGCCAGCAAUUUGGCAUUUGAACCCUGGAUGACAAAAUCAGCACCACCCCUAUCCUCCCCAACACUACCGUUAAAGUUAAACUUGACAUAUCCCCAAGGAAGGGGCUCUCAAGAAAUGAAAAAAAUCUCCAAGUCGCCGCAAAGAGCAGCAUGAGAGCCUCAAGAGUCGGAGACAUCAAGGAGCUGACUGAUAGCAUUGAAACGAUUGUACUCUAUGGUCAAAUGAAAGGCUCUCUCUAGCAUCUGGUGAACAUGCACCAUCUCAGCUUCGAAGAUCAAACUAUUCUUGAUAAUCCAAAUCUGAUGGCGACAUAUGCUAUUCUACCCCCCAGUUAUAGGUCGGCCCCUCAGUAGUACUCGUGCGGAUCGCAUACAGGAAAGAAUUCAGCCAAAGACCGCUACUCACCUCCCAUGACCCAUCCUCUUCUAAAUCAAUCUUGUCCGCGGACAGCGCAGGAGAAUAUUCUCCGUCGACUCAUCCUCCAACCCGUAUAACUGUCAAAGGAUGUGACUGACCAUCACGAUCUAUUUAAGUUAUAAACUAUCUGUUGUGUGCCAUUAGUAUACAUAUUGUUCAUCGUAGAAAUGACUACUGACCUCUCUCUAUAAAUAGAGGUAGGCAGGAGAUCCUAGAUAAGAAUUUUGAGCUUAUUUCAUAGUUUCCACUCUUUUAAUCACCAAUUCUCUCUUCUAUUAUUUUUUAAAUUUUAACUGACUUGAACAUCAAAAAAUCUUCCACUAGAAAAAUUCUGAUAAAAAAAUUUCUUUUUAAAAUUAGUGGCCAACCAAGGAGCUUUAAUUGCCAUAUUGACCACAGUCCACUACGGCCUAAUUUGACCUUAACAUGACUUCAUAAUUUAGCAGUAACAAUCCCUGUUGAUUGAAACUUUAGCAUCUACUCCAAGUUUCAGGGUUUCUUUAAUUUCCCAUUCCUAGCAAUUGCACACAUUAAUUCUCUAAUAUAGACACAGUUAUUUAGUAUACUAUUACAAAUAACCAUAUACAUAUUGAUACACGUGUGUAUAGGGACAAUAUAACCAUGUAUAGAGAGUACAAUUGUGUACAAGAACUAUUACCAUGAUAAUGGUCAAAAAAAUCAUAUUUUAAAGUCCCAUCAAAUUUGGCCCGAAUCGAAUAUUCUCCAAUAGGAAUUGGGGCUCUAUAAUCACACCCAGAAGAGGUAGAUGUGUCGGAUCGAUCCUUUCCAACUCUCAACUUUUUAACAAAAAAAAAAAUUCUAUCAAAGAAAAGAAUGGGUGCUAGAUUUCUCAAAAACUUAUUGUCUUUUUUCUUCUUCUUUCUACUUAAGAGGAAGAAAUUCAUUUUAUUAACAGAAGAACAAAAUAUCACUUACUAAAUAAUAAAAAAAAAAGAAGAAAGAAAGUCCCCGGAUGACAUACAAGCAAUUGAAUAAAAUCAUGCAAUAUCACAACCAUAGUAAACUUCUUGAAUACCAUGCAAUAUCACAGCCAUAAUUGCUGAUUGUCUGUCAUAUAGCUAAACCAUCUGAUAAGAUAUUAAAAUAUAAUUAAUACUAAUUAGAUAUUAGAAUUGUUGCAAAAUUUAAUUUAAUUUGAUUUUUUUUUCUAUGUGCUAAUAGAUCUCUUCUAUAAAUAACAGUUGUUUUAUUGUUUUUAAUAUUUUUUUUAAUUUUUCAUAAUUCUUUACUUUUUAAUCUAGCCUGGAAUAACAUAACAGUUACAUUUAUAAUUUGGCCCAUCGAUAUGCUAGUCUCAACCAACUUGCGGACCCGAUUAGAGUUUGCCAUGGUGUCUCCAAAACUGCCCAACAAGAGCCCACACAACCAGCCUGGAUUGCAACUCCUAAGCCCACUCUUCUCCAUAUUUUACCUGGGAUCAGCUGCACCCAAAACCUAGUCUAAGGAAUAAUUCUUUGUACAUUGUAUGCAGUGUAGAAAAAAUACACCGUCUCACUUGAUUGGAUCACAUAACCAUCAUUUUCUAAUGUGUAUUUAAUAUCUGUAAUUCCACUUUUUGGUUUGAAAUUUUAAAUGAUAAAAAUAUUCUUUUUUUUAAAAAAAAUUAUGACAUCUUGUGGUCAUAUUAUGACAUCCUGCUGUCAAAUUAUGACUUCAUAUUCAUAAUUUAGCCACAGAAUGUCAUAAAAAAUAAAAGAUAUUUUUAUUAUUUAAAAAAUUUUAAAUUUUAAAUGACGAAAAUAUUUUUUCCUCUUUGUAACUUCGAAAAAAAAUUAUGUCUUCCUGUACGCAGGAAGUCAUAAUUUGAUCGAAAGAUAUCAUAAUAUGUCACAGAAUGUUAUAAUUUUUUCAAAAUAUGAGAGAUAUUUUUAUCAUUCAAAAUUUUAAAUAAAAAAAGUAGAACUGCAGACAUUAAAUAUACUAUUAAAUACAUGUUGAAAAACAGUGGCUAUGUAGUCCGAGAUGAUCGGAUGGUGCGCUUAGGGGUGCCAAAAUAUGAUUCGAUCCACCAAUUUGAUCUGCAUUCGAUCCGCCAUAAACAAAUUUGAAUUUGACUUAAACGGAUUUAGAUCAUAGAUGGACCGACCUGUUUCACUCAUUUAUUAAACAGACAGGGUUUGAGUUUAAAUUUCUCAACCUAUCCAAACUGUUUAUGAUUUUUAUUUAAAUUUAUUUGGGCCUGUGGCCCCACGGGCUUCUGGUAAAAUUUAAGCAGUCCGCCUAAAUUUUGGUCCAUUCCCACGGUGAUCCAUGUUUUCUAUUUUUUUUUCCAUCGCCCUCCUUUUCCUCUUCUGUCUCUUCAAAAUCCUAAGUUCUCACCUCCUCACCCUCCCAACCACCGCCUCAGCCUCUCCAAACCCCUCCAACCCCAAUCCCACUCCCUCCUCUCUCACCAAAAUCCCGUCUACUUCUCGAUUGCCCUGACAGAGAAGGCCAUCAGGCGGGUGGCAUCGAGGGCCCAAGCGAGGCCGACGAGGAUCCGAUGGGCGACGAUACCCACGAGGGCAAGAACAAUGCCCAAUGGGCUAGGAAUCAAACACAGGGCUCUGGAAAGUGCCCAUGUGACACCAUCGAAGAGAGCUAGACGGUGACGAGCGUGAUGACGGCAACGGUGAUGACCGAAGAGAGGAUGAUUUUCAGAAUAAUCGGAGAGUCGAAAGAUCUGCAGCUUCAUGGCUGCCUGGGUGCUGCUCCCCUCCUUUAGCCAUGCCCUCACGAGCUGCGGUAGAUGCUCUCCGACACCGCCUAAACGAGCUCGCGACUACGAUCGGGACAGGAAUUUAGAGCUCUCCGUCUGAACGAGCUCGCGGCAAAGGUGAGAAACCCACUCGUCCUCUUCGUCUCUUUGUUGUCCUUUCCGAUCAUUGCUAGAUUUUUUUUUAAAAAAAUAUAAAUAAGCAAGGGUAGAGCAAAUAGGGGUCGGACGGAGGGGCGAGCGUGUGGCAAGGGCAGAGGGGCGGGCUGUGGUCGGACUGAGAGCAUGACGAACAGUAGAGAUCGAAGAUAGAGGUGAGAAACAGAUUUUUAUUUUUUUAUUAUUUUAAAUAGAUCAUAAAUAAAUUUUUUUAAAAUUAAAUUAUAAAUAUAAAUAUAUUAAAUAUAUCGAAUCAAAUAAUUUAUUUAUUAAAUGAAUCGGAUUCAAAUUUUAAUAUCUAAUUUAUUUAAUAAAUAAAUUAAAUUUAAAUAUUUUUAAUUUAAUUUAUAUUUGACUCAAUCUAUCUAAUUAUCACCCCCAAGUGCAUUCCAUGUUAUGUUUAUUAUACCGUACGCGGUGCACAAAGGCUUUCUCCCUGAUCUAAAUCAGAGUGGGGUUUAAAUUUAGACCCAAUCCAACCAAGUACCUCUCGUGGGUCCAAAGCCUGCCUCGUUAAUUUGACCCACCACUCUGGAAACCGGUGGGAAGAAUCCUAUCCUUUUCCACCCACCACCCGUUUUCUCCCUCCCCGGCUCUAUAAAUUGAGACCGACCCUCGGCCCUCUUCUCCAUCCACAAAAGCGAAUUCUUUUCGUUCCCCUUCGAUUCUCUUCCGUCUCCUCCCAUCUCUCUCUGAAGGUAUUCCUCGUCUCUUUGUCGUAUUAAGUUUUCUGAUUAGUAUGGUAUGGUACUCGGUGUAUGGUUUUGGAUGCUGAAUUAGGGCUUUUUUUGUCCCCUAUGAUCCGUAUCGAUUUGGUGCUAUUGGAUUAUUGUUUUGAUCGAUCUUUGAAGAGAAGAUCGUUGCGUGUUGUCCUCUUUUCGCUCUUAUUCGAUUUUAUGUUUUUGUGUUCGUAAGUUGAAUCUAGGGUUUCGAUGCCUUCUGGAACCUUGGAUGAUUAUUAAUGCGGUUCGUGGCGUGUUGGCAUCUAGGGUUUGGACAAUUAAUUAUUUCCAGGAUCAGUCUUUUUUUUAAUCUUCUUGUUUGUUUGUGUGUGUGUUGGGAUCUGGCCCAUGAUCGAUUCAUAUGUAUGAUGCUAUGAUCGUGAACUGAUUGAAUCUAGGGUUUUGAUUAUCAUAAAAUUCCUAGGGCCAUGAUCGUUUCUAGGGUUUUAUAUCAUCUUCUGAUUCAAAUGUUGGUUGAUAUCCUUUCUUCCCCUUUUUGAACAGCUCUUUGAUCUAUAGAACCUUGAUGCGAUUGGCUCCUAAUUUGAUCGAUGUUUGAAUGAAGGAUUAUGGAUUUUUAUUGUGUAUUCUUUAUAGUUCUUUUGUAUGUUUUCUGAUGGAAUCUAAGUUUUAAGUGAUCCAAUUGUUUUUUUGGAUUUUAGUAGUUCUUGGAUCUAUAUGAUUGCUUGUGGCUUAGAGAUCUAUCAUCACGUCAUGAGUUUCACUCUAUUUGGAACUGUGGCUAGGAUAUUUUUGCAGUAUAAGCGUACAAAUAGGUUUCUUUGAUUUGCUCUAAUCUUAUUUUCUUUCUCUUAUAUGUAUAAUUGCUAUCUGCUUAUGUUUCAACCAGUUUUUGGAGUCGAGAUUGUUGGUAGUGUAAGUCUAAUCAUUGAGUCUGUUCUUUGUCUUUUUUUUUCAUUUCUAUUCCUGUUCUUUGAUUUUUAUCAAACCUAUCUUUUACUAAUAAUAGUGGACAAUGACCUUAUUGAUAGUGGUAGGUAUCUAUAUGUUUUCUGGAGAACCUAAGGUUUGAAACAUUGUGCUUACCAUUUAAGAGAUUUAUUCUUUUUAGUUUUAUAUGGUUGCUCAUUUUCAGAUUAAGUCUUGACUGAUAGGGUUUGUAAUUAUGUCUAAUGUUCGAUCACUUGGUAUCUUUUUGGUGGAUUGAUAAUCAUUUUUUGUAGAUAUUUUGUUAGCAAUACUUUUGAAGGAUGCCAAACAGAGUAUUUUACAUAUUUGAUAAUUAAUAUGCUUAUUAUUUAACAUUACUUUUAUAUGCACAAUUCAUCAUGUUUGUCAAUUCUGUCCUUUUCUUGCUUUAUGCGUUGACUAAUGCUUAAAGAUUCCAAGGUUGUAAUCAAGUGUUAGUGAUGUGAUUCUGUUUACUUCUUGUCCAUUGAUCGUGUUACUAUUAUCUAAUCUUGUGUCCCAAUGCUAAAUUUGUCCAUGUCCCAACGAUCUCAACCGUAUGUUUUAAUCCUUUUAUGGGCAUAUACUUUCUGAUUAGCCUUCUGCUGAGGUUCUUAUACUCAUAUAUCUUCAUAAUUUCCAUCGGCAAGCAGAACUGAUUUAGAGCCAAGAUCUCAGGUCAUGAUGAAAUACUGAAGUUUUUAUCCUUUUUUGCAGUUGGAUGAUCUGUUUGUCUUGAUAGAUUAACUGAUUAUAUAUAUAACACCAGAAAUAUCAGGCACUGCUAGGGAUAUUGGCUAGCUAUUUAUGUAUUUAAUAUGUAGGGGAUUAGUCUACAGAAAUAUUAACAAUGAACAGCAAGAUAAUAGUUUAUGUUGACACAUACUGGUAUCUUGGAUAAGAUCUCAGCCUGAAAGAAAACCUUGGCCAAUGCUCAUCACCACAAAAAAGGGGAAAAAAUUCUGAGGACACCUGCUAAUUCUUAGGUUUAGGUUGGCAUCUAUUUGUAAUAUACUUUAGAAUUCCUUGUUGUUGUUCAGUGCACUGCAUGAUGAUCUCGUUUGGUUUUUUAGGCUAAAAGCUCCAUAUUUUAUAUUUUAAUAUCAGAAACAACUUAUCAAGAAAAAUGACACCACCCCUCCCCACCACCACACAACCAAAAAAAAAAAAAGAAAAAAGAAAAGAGGAGCAAAUUUUGUGUUGUUGCUUAUAGAUCAUAAGUUCUUCUUCCUUUUAGAUGUCCGCUUGCAGCCAAUUUUUUAUUUUCUCCACUGGUUGUUUUAUGAAACUACUACCAAAUCAAUAAUUGGAAGUAGUGUUUCCAACUUUGUUAUUUGUUUUAGUUUACUCUUGUUUAUGUAAACUGGGGCUUUUCCUAGUGGUUACACCCCUUCACUUAUACCAUCAAGGAUUUUGAUUUGGAGUAUUGGAUGAUGCAUCUCCAAGAAUUUGGACUUCGAUGGUUAUGGUCUGGGGGUUUGUUCCUUCCUCUCUCAGAAUGAGGGGAAAAACUUUUUUUUUUCUAUGCUUUAAUUUCCAAUGUAUGUUACAUAGUUGCAUCUGAUGCAAACUGUUGUUUUAGAGUAAAGUUUUAAAAGACUAAUGCAUAAAUUAUCCUUGUUGAAAUAUGAAUGGGCAUCUUGGAAGGAGAAAGAUUCUUAUAUCUAAUUGUACGUCUUCUAGUAGUUAUUUACUUGGUUGUUUUGUUUAAUGAAGAUAUUUGUUAUUUUAGUGUCACAUUGACUGGUUUCUUCAAGCCUUAUUGAAUUGUUAAGUUUUCCUUAUCUUUCUUUCUUUCCCCCCACAGAUGCAGAUCUUUGUUAAGACUCUCACUGGCAAGACCAUCACCCUUGAAGUUGAGAGCUCGGACACCAUUGAUAAUGUGAAGGCCAAGAUCCAGGAUAAGGAGGGCAUCCCCCCUGACCAGCAGAGGCUCAUCUUUGCUGGCAAACAACUUGAGGAUGGCCGCACUUUGGCUGACUACAACAUCCAGAAAGAGUCAACACUCCACCUUGUCUUGCGGCUCAGGGGUGGCAUGCAGAUCUUUGUGAAGACCCUUACUGGCAAGACCAUCACCCUGGAAGUUGAGAGCUCUGACACAAUUGAUAAUGUGAAGGCUAAGAUUCAGGACAAGGAGGGCAUCCCCCCUGACCAGCAGAGGCUCAUUUUUGCUGGCAAACAACUUGAGGAUGGCCGAACUUUGGCUGACUACAAUAUCCAGAAAGAGUCAACACUCCACCUUGUUCUACGGCUCAGGGGUGGCAUGCAGAUCUUUGUGAAGACCCUUACUGGCAAGACGAUCACCCUGGAAGUUGAGAGCUCUGACACAAUUGAUAAUGUGAAGGCUAAGAUUCAGGACAAGGAGGGCAUUCCCCCAGAUCAGCAGAGGCUCAUCUUUGCUGGAAAACAACUGGAGGAUGGCCGCACUUUGGCCGACUACAACAUCCAAAAAGAGUCGACACUCCACCUUGUCCUGCGACUCAGGGGUGGCAUGCAGAUCUUUGUUAAGACUCUCACUGGCAAGACUAUUACCCUGGAAGUUGAGAGCUCGGACACCAUUGAUAAUGUUAAGGCCAAGAUCCAGGAUAAGGAGGGCAUCCCCCCUGACCAGCAGAGGCUCAUUUUUGCUGGCAAACAACUUGAGGAUGGUCGCACUUUGGCUGACUACAAUAUCCAGNNNNNNNNNNNNNNNNNNNNNNNNNNNNNNNNNNNNNNNNNNNNNNNNNNNNNNNNNNNNNNNNNNNNNNNNNNNNNNNNNNNNNNNNNNNNNNNNNNNNNNNNNNNNNNNNNNNNNNNNNNNNNNNNNNNNNNNNNNNNNNNNNNNNNNNNNNNNNNNNNNNNNNNNNNNNNNNNNNNNNNNNNNNNNNNNNNNNNNNNNNNNNNNNNNNNNNNNNNNNNNNNNNNNNNNNNNNNNNNNNNNNNNNNNNNNNNNNNNNNNNNNNNNNNNNNNNNNNNNNNNNNNNNNNNNNNNNNNNNNNNNNNNNNNNNNNNNNNNUAAGGAGGGCAUUCCCCCGGACCAGCAGAGGCUUAUCUUUGCUGGCAAGCAGCUUGAGGAUGGCCGUACAUUGGCUGAUUACAACAUUCAGAAGGAAUCCACUCUCCACUUGGUCCUCCGGCUUCGUGGUGGCAUGCAGAUCUUUGUGAAGACUCUUACCGGAAAGACCAUCACCCUUGAGGUAGAGAGCUCCGACACCAUUGACAAUGUAAAGGCUAAGAUCCAGGAUAAGGAGGGCAUCCCACCAGAUCAGCAGCGUCUCAUCUUUGCUGGUAAACAGCUGGAGGAUGGGCGCACACUGGCAGACUACAACAUUCAAAAGGAAUCUACUCUUCAUUUGGUCCUCCGC